GGAACUGUAUACAAAGGCAAAGCAA
rnacentral:piRNA from 1 species